UAGAUACCUUCUUCUCCUCUCUCUCAUCCUCCGCCCAAAGCCGUAGCCGGAAAUCGCCCACGGUGGAGGCACCACUCCAAACACCCCCAAAUCUUCGCCCGACAAUCCCCACCUCCUCCUCAUCCUAUAUUUCCUCUUAAUUUCCUCCAAAACACCCUAGGGUUCCCCGAUUUUUAGAUCUAAAUUCCAGAAAACCUAUCUUUUCCUCUUUUCUGAUUUCUUUGGCGAUUUCAACUCGUUUUGACCUAGAACCUACGUCGAUCGAUUGUUCUUAACAAGAACAAUUGAUUGACGUUGGUUUUGGUUCAUUCCGAAGCCGUCGGAUUUUGGUCAAUCAGUUGCUGACCAAUCAGAGCCCUUGAAACCUUGUCAUUCCAAUUCGAGUUCCGUCUAGGUACCUCUUUUGAACCUUGGACUAUAAAUUGGAUAUGAAGCAUGCCUAUGUGGAGGAUAUAUGAGUAUUGUGAAAUUGAUGGAAUCAGUCAUAUUCAGUUCUUAAUUCUUAUGUUCUUUCAAGCUUUUUAUUCUUUUUACUUCUUUUUUCUAGUUUCUUAUUCUACUUAGAAUUAGUAGAUCUAGGCCUGAAAUUGAUAUACAAGUUUCCUUAUAGUGUGUAAAAUGAUAAGUCUGCUACUGUAUUCUUCUGUGUUGGCCUCUAAUUUAAUGUUAAAUGUUCAGCAGCUCCUUAUUUUAUA